rnacentral:rRNA from 1 species
AUACAUGCAAGUCGAACGCUUUGUCUUUAAUUGAUAUGAAGAGCUUGCUCUGAUUUGAUUUUAUCUGACAAAGAGUGGCGAACGGGUGAGUAACACGUGGGUAACCUACCUCUUAGCAGGGGAUAACAUUUGGAAACAAGUGCUAAUACCGUAUAACACUAACAACCGCAUGGUUGUUAGUUGAAAGAUGGUUCUGCUAUCACUAAGAGAUGGACCCGCGGUGCAUUAGCUAGUUGGUAAGGUAAUGGCUUACCAAGGCGAUGAUGCGUAGCCGAGUUGAGAGACUGAUCGGCCACAAUGGGACUGAGACACGGCCCAUACUCCUACGGGAGGCAGCAGUAGGGAAUCUUCCACAAUGGGCGCAAGCCUGAUGGAGCAACGCCGCGUGUGUGAUGAAGGGUUUCGGCUCGUAAAACACUGUUAUAAGAGAAGAACGACAUUGAGAGUAACUGUUCAGUGUGUGACGGUAUCUUAUCAGAAAGGAACGGCUAAAUACGUGCCAGCAGCCGCGGUAAUACGUAUGUUCCAAGCGUUAUCCGGAUUUAUUGGGCGUAAAGCGAGCGCAGACGGUUAUUUAAGUCUGAAGUGAAAGCCCUCAGCUCAACUGAGGAAGGGCUUUGGAAACUGGAUAACUUGAGUGCAGUAGAGGAAAGUGGAACUCCAUGUGUAGCGGUGAAAUGCGUAGAUAUAUGGAAGAACACCGGUGGCGAAAGCGGCUUUCUGGACUGUAACUGACGUUGAGGCUCGAAA